rnacentral:lncRNA from 1 species
GACAUUGAAAGAUAUCCAGGUAGGUUUCACUAUCUUGAUACGGGCAUAGUAUCUAUAGAAUACAUCGAAUAUCAGCCAACGCAUUAUGGACAAGAUCUACAACUUUAGACCGGAUUAUUCCCAUUGCAUGUUCUAAAAGUAAAUAUUAGAUUUUCAUAAAAUUAAGUUGAUAAUUCCGGUGAUGAUAUCCGAUAAUGAAGUGUUCAUUUCACUUUUGCCUGAUUCUCGUGUGAUUUUCUUUUUAUAAUUCCAUUGUAAGCUUGCUUUUUUAUGUCGUCAGAGUAAAAUUUCGACAAUUCAAAAUAUUCUAACCUUUAUAUACAAGUGACGUGAUACAAAUGUUGUAAUGGCUGAAAUACCACCUUUGAUGAUCGUAACACUGUUGAUUAAUUAGUCUUUAAUUAAUU